rnacentral:tRNA from 1 species
GGGCCGGUGGCGGAAUGGCAGACGCAGGGGACUUAAAAUCCCCUUCCCUUACGGGAGUGUGGGUUCGACCCCCACCCGGCCUACCA